CCCCCGUUUCGUCCCCCCUCAAAACCUCUAGUUUAACGCCGCCCCUCCGCUUGAAACUGCCGUCGGAAAUCGCCUCACGGCGGCGACCGGCGUCCAAUCGCCCCCAAAUUCAUGCCAUCCCCUCUCCUCGUUCUCUUAUUCCCAAAUUCACCCUCCGUUUACUUCAAAACCCAACCAAACGCCCCAAAUUUGUGAAACCCUAACCCCAUCUCCAUCGCACACGGCAGCGCCGACAUCUAAACAACUCCCAAAUAACACCACAUCACACCUAACCUUCCUUAUUCCUAAUAUCCAAGUGGAUUUCUUCAAACGUCACCAGAACGACUCGAAUCUUAAAUCAUAGAGUCGACGGAACCCUAGAAGGUCAUUUUUGCCCGAUCCUUGUUCAUUUUUUUUGAGUCUGGUCCUGUAUAGGUGAGUUUGUCUUUUCUUCCUUCUCUCAUUCAUUGGCUUCUGAUUAAAAUCCAUGCUUUGUUAUUUUCCUACUAUGGCAGAAAUUAAUAGUCAGGGUUUUUGUAUUUCUUAUCAUUUUAAAUGUCUGAUAGUUUUUUCUUCCUUCUUUGAUUCGUGAUUAAUGUUGGGUUUAGGAUAAAAACUAGAUUCAUUUGGUUAACCAUGAAUUUGUUUGAGUGUUGUUGUUUGUUUUCACUUUAUUCUUAGUUAUUCUAGCCUUAGAAUGUUAGCAUUAAUUAGAGUUAAAUGUCAAUUAUUAGAUUAGUUAGAUUAAUUUUUGUUUGGUGGUUAGAUCAAUUUACAGUCUUGCUUUACUUGGCUAUGCACUGAUUUUAGAAUUAAUCUCUUCAGUAGUUCAACUCAGAACUUUUGAAAUUGUUUCCUUAUAGCUGUAGUUUAGGAGCAAGUUCAGGGAUAGUUUAGACAUUUGGAAUUGAGUAGAACUUGGCCGUUAAUAUUAGAGUCUUCUAGGACCUUCUAGACUAGGGCUUUAGUGGUAAUUGCAAGAAACGUAAUGCACUAGCUUGAGUAACAAGUUAAUAAGUGAGGGACUAAUAAAUAAAACAGAAAAUUGGAGGGUUGCCCCUCAUUUGGCCUAUAAAAUGGCAUUCAUAUGCCUUCACUAACAAGUUUUUGGAGCCCCAAUGUUCCCCCCCAAAAAAUCUCCUUAAGCUCUAGAGAUCUGAAAUUCAAAUUCAGAUUACAAAAUCCUCUUAGAUCUUAAGCUUUCUUCAUAUAGAAAACCAAAAAAACAAUAUAAAUUUCCAAAAAACCAAAAAAUAUAUUUACCGUUCCAUUAAACUUUUACGUGAAUUUCAGCUUUUUAGUUGCUAGUUUGCAUUUUUCUAUGUUCAAGUUCUGAUUUCUGAAGUUUCUGGAGUUUACUGAUUUGUUUUCGCGUGGGUUUGGGUUCGUUUGAGUUGUUUUUGAGUAGAUCUGAUCAUUCUGUGUGAUUUUCAAGCACCUUUGGGUUUCUGAAUCUUUGCUGGACUGUUUUACACUUCAUUGAUUGCUGCUGGGGAUUUAAACUGAUUUCUGAGUUGCUGCCGGGGUUAUUAUUACUGCUAACCUCUCUAUUUCUUAUUUCACUUCAGAUUUCAGGUACACAUUUGAAUGCUCAUUGAUGUCGUUUUGAAUCGGAGUGAAAUGAAAUCAGCUUCCAAAUGUUUGCUCACGUAGUUAGUGUAAUUGUUUAGUCUUAACCUGUUUGAAUUGUACUGAAGUAGGAAUUAUUUAAUUAGGAUCAUUUUUCUAUUAAUAUGAAAUGUUUGGAUUUGAAUUAGAAUUGUUAUGAACUAUGUUGACUGGGACCUUUAACUUGUGAAUUUUUUAGCUGAUAGUUGUUUUCUAAUUUGAUUUAGCUCAUAUUAGUAAAGUAGUGAAGCUUGAAUUCAAAUUAAACUGGUUGGACGAUGGACAGUUUAACCUGCAGAUUGGUGAAGUGUAUUGUGAUUCUGUUUAUGUUAAGAUUUGUUAAAAUUAGAAAAGAUAAUUCGAAACAGAAAUGAGUUGAUGAUCAGGAUAUGGACCUGUUUAAGUUCAGUAGGAUAACGUUUUAUAGCAGAUUUGAAGUAAAGUACGAAUAUACUUCCAUUUCUAACCGAGAGGUUGUGAGUUCGAGUUUUCCCAAGAGCAAAGUGGGAAGUUCUUGGAGGGAAGGAUGCCAACCUCUCUACCUCAGGGUAGGGGUAAGGUCUGCGUACAUAUUAUCCUUUCUAUACCCCACUCAAUGAAAUUGUACUGAAUUGUUAUUAUUGUUGUUUGAAGUAAAGUACGAAUAUCGGAUUACAGAGAAAGUCAGUCGGUUUUACUGUAGAAUUAAUUGGGCUACACAAAUUCAUGUAUGAGUGGAUGUGGUGUCUUCAUCCAGGCUCGACGCCUGGGCCGCGUCCUCCAGCUGUAAUUGAAUAUGAACGAUGUCACAUGGGCUAGAUUUCUCCAAUAGUUGGCCUAAAGUUAUUUUCUUCAUGGGCUACUAAGCAUGAAUAGUUCGAAAGUGAAUAGUAAGGAUUUGGCCUUUUAUCAAUGUUAAUUAAUUAGGAGUUUUCCCUUUAUUCUUAGAGACGCAUUAAGUUAAAAAUUAUAGAUCUCUUUAGAAUUGAUUUUUAAAAUAAAAAUGAGACAAUCCUUGUCCAACAAAAUAUAUAAAUUGCGGGGCCCUCAAUAAGUGUUUGAGUUAGAAUACUUAGAUUCGGGAUAGGUCGUUAGCAAAUUUUACGGUCUUCCUCAAAGAUAAUAACGCGCUAGUCACUUUAGGUGCUCUUUUUAAUAAUUUACCUUCCUAAAGUCGGUGCGAAUUUAUGUGACUCAAAUUCAAAUCUCAACGAAGUCGAAAUGUAUCAACAAUCACGGGUCCAUUGAUGUAACGUGGUUCGAGACGCGUUUUCACGAUAUUUCAAUUCUUAUUAAAAAUAAUAAAAAAACGGUUCAAGUUAAAAAGCACAUAAGCUAAAACAUAUUUUGAAAUCAGAUAAAUCCAAAUAUGACAGUUGAGAGACCGUGCUAGAGCCACGAAAUAUGGGAACGCUUCACUCCUUCUUCCGGAUUAACAGAAUUCCUUACUCGGAUUUCUGGUCGCGGGCUGUUAACAGAGUCAUAUUUUUCCUCGGUUUGGAAUUCAACCGGUGAGUUGGGACACCAUUAAUCUUCCAAGUGGUGACUUUGAAUUUUAAUAAUAAAUCACAUUCCGAUUAUCCUUUAAUUGGAAAAAUUUCUUUACGUCCUUGCGGGUGUAGGAAAAAGGAAGUGUGACAGUGGUUAUGGCACUAGUAGUAGACCACAUGUAGCUCCGAUUACUAAUCGUAGAAAAAGAAGUAAGGUUUGGAAUUAUUUGUAAAUAAUAGAAGGUACUGAUAGAGUUAAAUGCAAACUUUGUAAAGGUGAUUUUAAACAUUUGACUGGAAGAAAUUUAGGGGGGACUGAGACGCUUAGUGAAUAUAUGAGAACUAAGCAUCCCAUAGAAUGAGGCACUGAUGGUGAUGAAAACCAAACAACUCUUAACCCUACUACUGGAGGUCGUGUGAAAUAUGAUAAAAUGAAGGAUCGUGAGGAGUUAGUAAAAAUGAUUGCUUUGGGUUGUCUAUGGACCUAUUCAUCUCCUACAUGAGAAAGAUAUGUAUCAUCAUAAACUUUAUUAUUUUUCUUCAUUUCUUUGUCUUUUGUUCUUGUCUUCUAAUUUUCUAAAAAUAGACAAAGAGUUUCUUACAGAUUAUCGAAAGAUUACCUUUUUCUUCAGCUUCUUCAUCAUAUCUUAUUAUGUAUAUUCAAAGAAUUUACAUUCCUUUAUUUAAAGGUAUCCUUAGAAGUACUUGCCGAGCUGAUAUCUUUAGACAUCAUGGACAAUAUCAAACAUCCAUACGUUAUUUGUUUAGCCACAUUUCUUAUAGAGUUUCUCUAACUUCUGAUAUUGGCCAUGCUGUUAAUGAAAAUGAUUAUUUGGCAAUUACAUGUCAUUGGAUGAUACUACUUGUAUUCAAAAACGUAUUAUCGCUUUUAGAUAUGAUGAAGAUCAGAGUCAUACUGCUGCGUAUAUAAGUAGUACUAUUUGUGAAGUUGUUGAAUUUUAUAAUCUCAAGAAAAAGUAUUAUGUAUGUCUUUUGAUAAUGCUUCUAACAUUACUGCCGCAAUUUCGAUAUUACAACUGCAUUUGCAACCACCUCUUGAUGAAUUUUUUUAUGUUAGGUGUGCAUGUCAUGUUUAUAAUUUAAUUAUUAAAAGUGGUCUUGAUUUAUUUUCAAUUGAGAUUACAUAUGUUAGAAGAGAAGUUGGUGUUAUUCAAGGAAAUAAUAGACAAUCUAGAAUAAAGGAAUAGUGCGUCCAGUAUAAUCUUAAACCUAGAUUCAUGCCAUAUGGAAUUGUUACUAGAUGGAAUUAUACAUAUAUAUUUUUAAAAUAUUGCUACAAAUAUAGAUUCCCNNNNNNNNNNNNNNNNNNNNNNNNNNNNNNNNNNNNNNNNNNNNNNNNNNNNNNNNNAAAUAUUGCUACAAAUAUAGAUUCCCAAUAACUGAAGUUGCUAAUGCGCAUUGUACUGAUCCAAACCGUAUGUUAACAACUACUACUUGGGAGGUCAUUAUUAAUGUUGUUAAAUUUUUAUAUAAAUUUUAUACAGCUACUGUUGAGUUUUUUUGGAGAAUAUUACCCUACUGUUACCAUGAUUUUAGUACAUAUAGCUGAAAUUUCUUUUCUACUCUUUGAAUUUAAGAAGAAAGAAAAAUAAAAGGAUGUUGUGGAAAAAAUGCAAGAAAAAUUCAAAAAAUAUUUCUUUCCAAUUCCUCCGAUUUACUUAAUUGAUACUAUUUAAAUCCUUCUAUUAAGAUGUCUGAUUGUCACCAAUUACUGAAUGCUUUAUAUUCUUAUAUGGAGAUUGGACCAACUGAAAUUCCAGAUUUAUACACUUGUAUGAACAAGCUAAAUGAAUAAUUACAAUAAUUAUAUAAUUAUUAUGAAAAUGUAAUUGAUGAUGCUGCUCAUACUAUAGGCAUUGUUAAUCCCACUAUGCACUGUACCUCUUCUGCUAUUGUGGAUGAUGAAGAAGGCCUUGAUAGUUUUAAUAUUUUUUGUAUAUUUUCUAAUACUCAAACCAGUAGCAGGAACAUUGAUGAACUUCAAUUCUACUUGCAGAAGCAAAAAGAGUCCCGCACAAAGGAAUUUUCACCGUUAGGAUGGUGGCAUGUGAGUUGCCUGGGCAGAUCCAAAUAUUGAUAUUAUAGCACGUGAGUUGUCCGUGCUGAUCCAGACAUUGAUAAGUGAGAUUGAGUACUCUAAGAGUGUGAGUACAUGAGUUCAUCACUGCCCUGCAUUGCAUUAGACAUGCAUACUUGAUAUGUAGGCAUAGAGAAGUAUUUUUCCUCAAGCCAUCUAAUAAUGAAAUUUCUGAUCUAUUGUUAAUUUUUUAAAGAAAAAUCACAGAUUUCAGACUUACUCAUAUUUUCGAUGAUUUCGACAAAAGAUUUGAGUUUUAGUGUUAUACUUAAAAAGAAAAUGUCUAUUUUCUUUCAAUAAUUGUGAACGAGCUGAGUAUUUUAUUAUUGAGUUAUUACUUUUUCCGCUUUAAUUAUAUUGUUAUGAGAUGCUACCGGUUAUUACUGUGAACUCUGACUUUGAUACAAGCUCGUCACUGCAUUUAACCUAAGGUUAUGUUUCUUACUUAGUGAGUAUAUGAGGUCGGUUGUACUUAUACACCUUGUGUGCAAAUUUUGGAUGCUGAUGUUCCUGUGUAUGGCGGGAGCUAGCAUUGGAGAUGUACAUGCAUUCCGGUCAUAGCUUUCUCUUGAUCUUGAUAGCUUUAGAUUUCAAAAUCUAUUUAGGUAUUUUAAAUAGAUGAUGUAUUUUAUUUCACACCAACUUUGUAAAUUCUGAAUCUUAGAAGCUAAUGAUUU
rnacentral:lncRNA from 1 species